rnacentral:lncRNA from 1 species
AGCGUUAGAUAGCCAAAUAAAGGCUAAAUCGGACAAACUUGUGCAGUAUAACAGCAGGUUAAAGUUUGCGUCGAAGCCAUUUUCUUAUAAAAACAUGAAAAGCUUAUUAAUGGAAGAGCUAAAGCAGAUUGGGGGAGGACUAUAAAAACCAAAGCAGUCAGAAAAAAUAAUCUGCGUAGAUCAGAAAAACUAGAACUGUAACAACAAAGAAAAGAAGAAUUAAAAGAAAAUUAACUUACAGAUGAGAAUAAAGAGCAGAAAAUUGAAUAUAGAAAGCAGUAGCAACAUAUGAAUCCAAGUUUAACAAAGCAUCGUAGGCAAUAGCAAGAAGAACAACACAAGCAACAGAGCAACAACAAAAUAAAAACAGAUUGAGCUGAAUCAACCUCUUAAUAGCAGAAACAGUGAGUCAAAAACAAAAUAAAACUAUUUUCUGUUUCAAAAUCUACUUUGACACUCAAGAAAAGGAAAGAAAUUAGUGUGAAAUAAAGAAAUCUUUUG